rnacentral:rRNA from 1 species
UUCCAGACUCCUACGGGAGGCAGCAGUGAGGAAUAUUGGUCAAUGGCCGAGAGGCUGAACCAGCCAAGUCGCGUGAGGGAUGACGGCCCUACGGGUUGUAAACCUCUUUUGUCAGGGAGCAACGCCGGCUACGUGUAGCCGGACUGAGAGUACCUGAAGAAAAAGCAUCGGCUAACUCCGAGCCAGCAGCCGCGGUAAUACGGAGGAUGCGAGCGUUAUCCGGAUUUAUUGGGUUUAAAGGGUGCGUAGGCGGAAUGCCAAGUCAGCGGUAAAAUCGCGGGGCUCAACCUCGCUCCGCCGUUGAAACUGGCGUUCUUGAGUGGGCGAGAAGUAUGCGGAAUGCGUGGUGUAGCGGUGAAAUGCAUAGAUAUCACGCAGAACUCCGAUUGCGAAGGCAGCAUACCGGCGCCCAACUGACGCUGAAGCACGAAAGCGUGGGUAUCGAACAGGAUUAGAUACCCGAGUACAU